UACGUAGGAGGCAAGCGUUGUCCGGAAUUACUGGGCGUAAAGCGCGUGUAGGUGGUGGGCCAAGUCUGCUGUGAAAGCGCCUGGCUUAACCGGGCGAGGUCGGCGGAAACUGUCCGACUCGAGGACGGUAGAGGGGGGUGGAAUUCCCGGUGUAGUGGUGAAAUGCGUAGAUAUCGGGAGGAACACCAGUGGCGAAGGCGACUACCUGGCCUGUUCUUGACGCUGAGGCGCGAAAGCUAGGGGAGCAAACGGG
rnacentral:rRNA from 1 species